CGGUAACGCAAAAUUUGCGCCACAGCUCCUGGGGUUUACCCAACUAAAGUGAUGCGUCUCGCCUCGGGUCUCCACAUGUUUUGAACUUAUACUUCAAGUAUAAAAGGAAAAAAAAAACACGCCCAUCAUUCGUUGAUGCGUUUCUACGGUUGCUAAAGUUUCUGCUUGAAGGUCAACCUCUAUAUCACGUUCCGGUGUAUAUAUACGGCGAAAGGUUGGACUGGAAACAGAGAACAGGCAUCAGCGACGCAGGAUCUGCCCCGACAUGUUUAAGUUACUGCUUGUGAUGUUGCUACUGGCAGCUGUGGUGACCGUCGCCGUCGCCCAGUUUGGAAGGGGCGGCUAUGGUGGCGGAGGCGGCUACGGAAGAGGCGGCUAUGGAGGUGGAAGAGGCGGCUAUGGAGGUGGAAGAGGCGGCUAUGGAGGUUAUGGAAGAGGUGGAAGAGGCGGCUACUACAGAGGAUAACAGGCCGCUCAAACUCUUUUCCUGUACACAGCGUCUGUUCUCCUUCAUUAAAUGUCUUCUUCAUCCUC